rnacentral:rRNA from 1 species
UACGUAGGGACCAAGCGUUGUUCGGAUUUACUGGGCGUAAAGGGCGCGUAGGCGGCAAUUCAAGUCAGCUGUGAAAUCUCCGGGCUUAACUCGGAACGGUCAGCUGAUACUGCUUUGCUAGAGUGCAGAAGGGGCAAUCGGAAUUCCUGGUGUAGCGGUGAAAUGCGCAGAUAUCAGGAGGAACACCGGUGGCGAAGGCGGGUCUCUGGGCCGAUACUGACGCUGAGGAGCGAAAGCGUGGGGAGCGAACAGG